CAGACAGUAAGAUAGUGCUUGGAUACAUCUACAACCAAACCAAACAAUUUUACGUGUACGUCAGUAAUCGAGUAGAAUGUAUCAGAAGGUUCUCUCUGCCAAAGCAAUGGCAUUAUAUUCCCACGGACCUUAAUCCUGCUGAUUAUGGGACAAGACCUAUAUCCCCAGCAGCUCUCCAUGGCUGCUUGUGGCUGACGCCUCCAAGGUUUCUUCACGAAAACCCCUACUCAAUUUCCACUGACGUUACCUAUGAAUUGGUACUUCUUCUCCCAAAUGAGUGACUUAUGCAAGAGUACCAGGCAAUACGGUGCUAUGGCGGGGAGAACGCC
rnacentral:lncRNA from 1 species